GCGCCGAUCACGUUCUUGUAGGCGACGGAGAGGAGAUUGCGCUCCUCGACAGUAAGCUCUUCAGAUUCCGGUGUGGAAAAGACGACCUUCUCCAUGAAUUGGACCAUUUCUUCAUAACGCUCAGCUUGCUCGGCGAGCUUGGCCAUGUAGACGUUAUCUUCGCGUGGAGAUCCGGCGGCCAUUUUCGGAAUUCUUCUGGUUUUGGGCGUGAGAUUUGGGAGUUAUU
rnacentral:misc_RNA from 1 species